rnacentral:rRNA from 1 species
AGCGAACGCUGGCGGCAGGCCUAACACAUGCAAGUCGAACGGCUCUUCGGAGCAGUGGCGGACGGGUGAGUAACGCGUGGGAACGUGCCCUUUGGUUCGGAACAACACAGGGAAACUUGUGCUAAUACCGGAUGAGCCCUUUGGGGGAAAGAUUUAUCGCCAUUGGAGCGGCCCGCGUGGGAUUAGGUAGUUGGUGGGGUAAAGGCCCACCAAGCCGACGAUCCAUAGCUGGUCUGAGAGGAUGAUCAGCCACACUGGGACUGAGACACGGCCCAGACUCCUACGGGAGGCAGCAGUGGGGAAUCUUGCGCAAUGGGCGGAAGCCUGACGCAGCCAUGCCGCGUGAAUGAUGAAGGUCUUAGGAUUGUAAAAUUCUUUCACCGGGGAAGAUAAUGACGGUACCCGGAGAAGAAGCCCCGGCUAACUUCGUGCCAGCAGCCGCAGUAACAC